rnacentral:rRNA from 1 species
AUUGAACGCUGGCGGCAGGCUUAACACAUGCAAGUCGAGCGAGCGGCGGACGGGUGAGAAAUGUCUGGGAAACUGACUGAUGGAGGGGGAUAACUACUGGAAAAGGUAGCUAAUACCGCAUACCAUCAGAUGGUCCGAGAUGGGAUUAGCUAGUAGGUGGGGUAAUGGCUUACCUAGGCGACGAUCCCUAGCUGGUCUGAGAGGAGGACCAGCCACACUGGAACUGAGACACGGUCCAGACUCCUACGGGAGGCAGCAGUGGGGAAUAUUGCACAAUGGGCGCAAGCCUGAUGCAGCCAUGCCGCGUGUGUGAAGAAGGCCUUCGGGUUGUAAAGCACUUUCAGCGAGGAGGCGUUACUCGCAGAAGAAGCACCGGCUAACUCCGGGCCAGCCGCCGCGGUAAUUC